GUUCUCUGACUUCCUUCACACAAGAAAUCAGCCUUAGUUACAAUAUGCACAGCCUCAAGCAUAUAGAUAUGUGUGCUUACUAAAUUUAUUUUUUAGCGCAUGCUGCCGGCGUUCUCGACGUGCUCUACCGAGCUUAUAGAUCGCUGGGAGAAAAAACUCGCUGGUUCUGACGGAUCAUAUGAACUGGAUAUCUGGCCGGAGUUUCAGAACCUCACCGGAGACGUGAUCUCCCGAACGGCAUUUGGCAGCAGCUUCAUGGAAGGGCGAAGGAUCUUCCAACUUCAGGGCGAGCAAGCAGAGCGGCUAUUCAAGGCCUUCCAGUAUAUGUACAUUCCAGGCUUCAUGUAAGAACUUUCUGAUCUGUCACAUGGUACAGUAAUUCUAGUACAUAUAUUAAAGGUCAUCACAUUCAUAUGUGUGUGCUCAUGCCGUUAUAUAUAUGCAGCUUCUUCCCGACACAGAACAAUCGGAGGAUGAAAGAAAUCAACAGGGAAAUUGAAGGGACUCUAAGGGGCAUGAUCGAGAAGAGGGAGCGCGCAAUCGAGAAUGGCGAAACCAGCGGCAACGACUUGCUCGGCUUGCUGCUGCAGUCAAACAUGGAAAGCGGGAAAGGCAACCUGAGGAUGAGCACCGAGGACAUGAUUGAGGAGUGCAAGCUCUUCUACUUCGCGGGGAUGGAAACCACGGCAGUGUUGCUCACAUGGACACUCGUCAUCCUAGGCAUGCACCCUGAGUGGCAGGACCGCGCGAGGGAGGAGGUCCUCAGCGUGUUCGGCAGGGACAAGCAGCCCAAUUUUGAUGGCCUAGGUCGACUCAAAACGGCAAGUGUUUCUUUGCAAUACCAUGUAUAUGCAUGUUUGCUCCAACCAUUCAACAUUAUAUUACCUGUUAACAUUGUUUGUACCUACAUGAUAUCCAGGUGACGAUGAUACUAUACGAGGUGCUCAGGCUGUACCCAUCGGUAGUGACCCUAAAUCGAAGAGUAUCCAAAGACAUGCAUAUUGGAGGCAUCACAUACCCUGCAGGGGUAAUCCUCGAGCUUCCCAUAAUCGUCCUCCACCACAACCCUGAUGUCUGGGGGAAGGACGCACAUGAGUUCAAGCCAGAGAGAUUCGCUGAGGGGAUCUCAAAGGCGACCAAGGACCAACCAGCAUUCUUCCCCUUCGGAUGGGGGCCGAGGAUCUGCAUCGGGCAGAACUUUGCGUUGCUUGAGGCCAAGAUGGCCUUGAGCAUGAUCCUCCAACGCUUUGAGUUCCAACUAUCGCCUUCAUACACGCAUGCACCGUACACGGUCGCUACGCUGCAUCCUCAGCAUGGCGCGCCAAUUAUAUUCAAGAAGAUCUGAUCGUCUUGUAUGACAUUGUCAAUCGGUCGUUAUCAAUGAGUAUGUCACAGUGCAAAAAUAGUAGAUUUGUAUGAGUACAGUAUUAUUUUUUUGAUGAAACAGGAGGGGUGCCCCCUACUGGACUUUUAUUGAAAAUAAAUAAUGAGUACAGUAUUAUUAGAGGGUUUAAUUUUGUGUAUCUGAAUUUUGAGGUGGAAACAGUAGUAAAUCGUAGGAUUGAAACUAGCUUAGCUGUCCUUUUCUAAUGUUUCGAUCAGCUUCUUCAUCAAAUUCUUGUAUUCAGCGUUCAAAUUCAUAUCAACGACCUAGCCGGCCGCUGGCUUACUCCUAUUUUCACAACUAUAUUCUAUCCACUCCGAAUUGUAUAUCACUUCGAAGUUGUCCUUUGUCGAACUUCCUUCUCUAACUUUGAAGUUCAAAUAAAUAAUUAAACUAUCAAGACAUAUUUUUUUGAAGAAUACGAUGAAACCCUUCUCUAACUUCCUUCUGUUAGACUAAUAUAAUUAGGCCUAUAACUGUGGAUGUAAUCAUGUAAUCACGCCAAUUACGGUAGCAUGCCACUCAAACGUGUAUAUAUAUAUAUGUACUCCUGUACUCAUACUUGGAAUACAAUCAUUUAUUCCCACAUUCUCAUGGUAUCAGAUAGCGGUUUCCAUCCGCCACACUUCCACAACCCCAUCUCGUGCAGCCGAUCGCCGCACCAUCGCUGCCGAACCACUCGCUGGGAGCGCCGCCAGGUCCUGAUCGCGCCGCGCACACAUCCCGAUCGCCUGCCUCGUUGCUGUCCAAGCCGUUGCAGCCACCGAUCCAGCUGCUUCUCCACGCGCCCGCCCGACUCCGCAGUCCGCCUCGCAUCACGCGGACUCGCCAGGCCAUCCUCGCACAGAGCCGCCAGGCUGUCAUCACGUCGCGCCUCUGCACGUCGCCCGCGCCGUCAUGAUGGCGGCUGGAGACGACGACGCUGCUGCUGCAGCAGCUGCCAAGGACGCUGAGGACAGACGCCUCGCAGAUGAGGCCAAGGCUCGACUCCACGAAGCGCUCUAGGCACAAGCCAGGCGCAAGCCACUGCCGUCGUCAACAGUGGCGGAGCCAGGAUUUCAAACUUGCGUAUUCCCACUUCCACAAAGUUAAAUUUAUAGACUUAAAAUAUAGUCAAUGAUACUGUAAGUCAGCAACUUUAAACUAAUAUUUGCUUUCUAGGAUAUAGAUUUCUAAUUAAAAUGUCAGUUUACAUGUUUUGAGCUCAAAUGUGCGAAAAUACUAUAGAUUAUAGCAUUAUAUAUUUAUAUAUAUAAAUAUAUACACAUAUUUACAUAAAAGUGUACCAAAAUAGUUGGGUAUUCCCAGAAAUACUUGGGAAUACCCCUAGAUCCGCCCAUGGUCGUCAACGUGAAGGCUCUCAUCCCGGUCAUCCUCGAUUAGGCGACGACCACCUACACCAAGUGGUGCGGCAUGUUCCUCACUGUCCUCAGCAAAUAUGCCCCUGACUCAUCACGUCCUUGAGGACGAAACAUUCCCGUCACGCCCCGCAUGGGUUGAAGCCGAUUGCUGCAUCCUGGAUCUACGACACCCUUUCUAGUGACCUGCAGCAAUCUCUGAUGAUGCGACAGGGCCCGGCUCGCGGGGCGUGGUGCUACCUCGAGGAUGAGUUCCUCGGCCAAAAGGAGUCAAGGGCGCUUUUGCUCGAGAUGAAAUUGAUCCGCAACUUCCGUCAAGAGUCCCCGAGCAUCACCGACUACUGCCGCCAGCUCGAGUCGAUGGCGGCUUCCCUUGCCGAGUUCGGUGAUCCCAUCGGUGAUUGACAGAUGGUGCUCACGCUCCUUCGCGGCCUCGGUGGCAAGUUCUGCCACAUGGUGUCCAUCCUCAAGAUGCACAGGCUGUUCCCCACGUUUGCGGAGGCACGGGCGCAUCUGCUGUUGGAGGAUAUGGAAAUCGAUGCACGUCCUCUGUCCUCGCCAUCAGCACUUGUCACUACAACGCCACGACCUGCGGCUCCAGGGGCUCCGGCGCCUCCACGUCCGGAGGCGCCUCCUCCAGCACCCCCCUGGUGCCCAACGGCCAACGCACCGGCCGUCGUCGCGGUCACGGUGGAGGCAAUAGCCAACAGCAGGGCCAAUCAGCGCCCCUGGCCCGGUGGCACCCCUUCGGCUGGACAAGGGGGUGCACCCCCCGGUAUGCAUCUGUCAUUCGUGCACCCAUGGGCUGGCACUAUGCGGUUGUGGCCAUAUGACCAGUCCGGGCGCCCACCCCCACCGUUGCCAGUGUUCAGUGACGUUCCACAGUACAACAGCUUCGGUGGCGCAUCUAGCGCCUAUGGUGGCAUCUAUGGCGCUCCAUCCGCUUUGUACGACACGUGCUACGGGGGAGCUGCACCCCCCGGGUUUCUAGGCGCCUGCACCGGCGUACCAGGCGGCGCCCUAGAACCCUACUCACGAUGGUGCAUGGCAUCAGGACGCCCUUGCAUACUCCUUCACCACCAUGACGUUGAACCCACCACACACUACUUCUGGGUGGUACGCCGACUCUGGUGUAGGAUCGCACAUGACAUCGGACACUGGUAAAAUCUCCACCCCCUCCCCCCAACUUCAUUCACGCCUUCAUUUAUCAUUGUGGGCAAUGAUGCUUUGGUUCCUGUCACAGCCACUGGAUCACACACCUUUUCUUUACGACAUCACAGUAUGCCCAUGUCUUCACCAAGGGUACGUCUUUCUACCUCAUUAUUUCAGGAGUUCCAGUCUAGUCUGAUCAUUAGCGAUGCCUCUAAUUAGACGUCGGGAGAGUGUUAGACUAAUAUAAUUAGGCCUAUGUAAUCACACCAAUUGCGGUAGGCUUGCAUGCCACCCAAGCGUGUUAUAUAUGUACUCCUGUACUUAUACUUGGAAUACAAUCAUUUAUUCCCACACUUCACCUUCAAUUGUCUGCCGGAUGAAUCGGAUUCCGAGGCGCGUAGCUCCGUUGCCCUGGUGUGGGUUAACAGCAGCCGUUAUGUGUGGCUCUGCAACAGAAGGUGACAGGCGCCGUCGAGCUGGUGCUGCCGGCGGGGCCGAGUGUUAGCAGUAGGCAAGGGUUGGAGAAAUUGGGGAAGGGAAUUAAGACGAACAGCAAGCAAAGACGCAGAUAGAUCGGCGAAGAAACGAAGAUGAGUGCUUAGGCAGUUAGAACUUGGUUUACAACUUUCUGAAUGCCUCUCUUCUCUCCCAAGCCAAGUCUUAUACGAUACAUGGGCAAAGCCCCGCCCGUGCACGCAGGCACGCUAAACCCAUUCUGGGCCGGCUAAACGGACGUUGGGCUUCCUCACGCGAACCCGAGUGCUUGACCCAUGGGCUUCUUCUCCUGUGGCCUCGUCAGGUGGAGAAGUGCUGACACUCCCCGGGUCUUGAGGACCUGCUUGACCCCAAGCAGGAGCAUGGGGAAAUGACUGACGAAGAUGUGCCAAAUUUUCCCAGGUAGCCAUCUCCUUGGGCCAGCCAGACCAACGAACCAACCCUUGUUCCACCGAGCCAUGAGCAGCAGGAACCGUGCGAGUCUGUAGAACAGCCAUGGGUAUACGAGGGAGCUCGGUGUCAGAAGGUAAAACAGGGGAUACCUGAGUGCCAGGCAAGACAGCCGCCUUAAGCUGGGAGACGUGGAACACCGGAUGAACUUAUGUUGUGGGUGGCAACUGUAACUUGUAUGCUACACUACCAAUUCGUUCCAGAACGGUGAAGGGCCCAAAAUACUUGAAGGACAGCUUCUGGUUGGCGCGAGGGGCCAGAGUAGACUGCACAUAAGGUUGGAGCUUCACAAAGACCUCAUCCCCCACACUGAAAUGACGCUCAGAGCGAUGCUUGUCAGCCUGCUUUUUCAUGCGUUGUUUAGCUCAGGCCAAGUGUUGGCGAAUCAGAUCAGUGAUCACCUGACGGUCGCGAAGCCAAGUGGGGAUGUCUGGAACAACCACGUCAUCCAAGACGGAAAUACCAAAGUGGCGCGGAGCAUGACCAUAGAGGGCUUCAAAUGGAGAAAACCCAGUAGCUGAAUGCGGGGAAGUGUUAUACCAAAACUCGGCCAGGCCCAACCAAGAAGACCAUUUGUGAGGACAAGCAUUCACAAAGCAGCGAAGAAAAGUUUCCAUGGUUUGAUUAAGACGCUCUGUUUGCCCAUCCGACUGGGGGUGGUAACUGGAGCUCAUUUGCAGAGACACAUCUGCUGCACGGAAAAGUUCUUUCCAGAAGGUGCUCGUAAAGAUACGAUCCCGAUCAGAGAUAAUCACCGAUGGCAAUCCAUGUAAUUUGUAGAUGUGGUUUAGGAAUACCUUGGCAACAUGCUGGGCAGUAAAUGGAUGCAAGAGGGGAAUAAAAUGGCCAUAUUUAGUGAAGGAAUCCACCACCACUAAGAUGCAAUUGGCAUUCCCAGAACGAGGCAACCCUUCGACAAAAUCCAGAGAGAUGAUCUGCCAAGCUGAAGCGGGUACCGGUAAGGGCUGAAGUAAACCAGGGAGGCGGGAACGAUCUGGUUUUGCUCGUUGACAAGUCAGGCAAGACUCGACAAAGGAACGGACGGAGGUCUUCAUGCCAUGCCAAUAGAAUAUCUGUUUCAUGCGGGCAUAAGUGACGGGAAAUCCGGAGUGACCGCCCAAGGCCGAAGAGUGAGUUGCUUGAAUGAGCCAUUGUUGGAGAGAAGGGUUAUCCCCAAUCCAUAUUUGCGUUCCGCGGCGAAGAACACCAUCCCUCAAUGAAAACCUAGAUACAGCCUGAGGGUCAAUCGACAGCUUAGCAAUCAUAUCCAGGGUGGCCGGGUCCUUAUCGUAACCCGAAGUUACUUCCAGAAUCCAAGAGGGUUGGACAACAGACACCGCAGCACAGACAGAGUCAUGAAAGGUCUUCCUGGACAAAGCAUCAGCUGCCCGAUUGGAGGAUCCAGGCUUGUACACAAUACGAAACUGAAGGCCAGCCAACUUAGAGAACACUUUUUGUUGCCAAGGAGUGUGUAACCGUUGGUCAGUGAGUUGGACCAGACUUUGUUGAUCGGUAUAAAUGAUGAACUCCGCCAGUUGAAGAUAAGAGCGCCACUGUUGUACUGCCAAAAGGACUGCCAAAUAUUCUUUUUCAUAAGUACUAAGCCCGCGGCUGCGAGGACCCAGCGCCUUGCUUAAGAAUGCCAAAGGAUGACCAUCCUGAGAUAACACAGCGCCAAUCCCUGUAGCACUAGCAUCCGUUUCAAUGCUAAACGGUUUAGAGAAAUCUGGCAAUGAUAAAACCGGAGCAGAGCUUAAUGCAGUCUUCAGCACUUGGAAGGAAUCUUCAUGGGCCGGAGUCCAAUGAAACAAAACAUUCUUCUUCAACAAGUCAGUCAAUGGCUUAGCAAUGAUGCCAAAGUGGCGCACAAAUUUCCGGUAGUAGCCAGCCAACCCGAGGAACCCGCGCAAUUCCUUGAGGUUGGUAGGAGUAGGCCAACCAAAGACUGCAGCAAUUUUUUGAGGGUCCGUAGCAACACCUGCUCCAGAAAUAACAUGCCCCAGAUAAGCAAUGCUACGUUGUGCAAAAUCACAUUUAGACAACUUAAUCUUCCAAUCAUGAACUUGUAACUGUUGGAAGACACACUGAAGAUGUUUCAGAUGUUCCUCAUAAGAUUUGCUGAAAAUAAGGAUGUCAUCAAAAAAAACAAGUACAAAUUUGCGGAGGAAAGGAGCCAAUGUGGAGUUCAUAGCCUCCUGAAAUGUGCCUGGAGCGCCAGUGAGACCAAAUGGCAUAACUCGGAACUCAAAAUGGCCGAAGUGUGUUUGAAAUGCAGUCUUGAAUUCCUCUCCAGGUUUGAGCAGGAUUUGAUGGAACCCUGAACGUAAAUCCAGCUUAGAAAACCAGGAAGCACCCCCUAACUCAUCCAACAAUUCAUCGAUAAUGGGAACUGGGUAUUUGCCUUUCACAGUGAUGGCAUUAAGAUGGCGAUAAUCAACACAAAAACGCCAGGAAUGGUCUUUUUUCUUGACUAACAGCACUGGCGAGGAAAAAGGACUGGUGCUUUUUUGAAUAAUGCCAGAGUCCAACAUUUUCUUGACCUGACGUUCCACUUCAUCCUUGAUAGUUGGUGAAAACCGAUACGGCCGAGUAAAGACUGGAGAAGCACCAGAAACAAGAGGGAUAGAAUGAUCACAACUGCGAGACGGUGGAAGCUGGUGCGGUUUCUCAAACAAGGUAGAGUAGUGCUGAAUGAGGUCCUGGAUUUCUGGAGGCCAAGAAGACUGAUCUGGCUCGGUUGGAGGCUCAAUCCCAACAUGCAGAACCGCACCAGCAGGCAACUCUGGCAAUAUACCCACCAACUGAACCGAAUGUCCUUCAUGGAAAAACUGUAUCCACUUCUGGGCCCAAUGUAUCUCCAUAGGACUAUGGUUUUCUAGCCAAUCCAGGCCUAAUAUCAUGUCAUAGGAAGAUAACGGCAAGACCUUGAUGUCAGAAGUAAACUGAUAUUGUUGAAUAGACCACUGAGCAUCCGGAAUAUGAAAUGAGCACUAUAACAACUGACCAUUAGCCACCUGAACCUUUAAUGGAACAGCCAGAGGUUGGAGAAUGUCAAGCUGGGAGGCCACAGCUGAACUGAUGAAUGUAUGUGAACUGCCCGAGUCCAGAAGAAUACGCACCGGCUGAGUACCCAGACAACCCCAGAAGCACAUGGUACGAGGUGCAAUAGACCCAGAAACAGCUGCAACAGAUAAUGUCAGGAACAAUUGCUCAUCUGUCUGGUCAAUAGGAGCUGCAUCAACCUCAGAAGCUUCAUCCAGUUGUAAAACAUCCAGAAGUUCCUGAACCACAUGGAGCUGCACUGCCUGUGGACACUGGUGAUCCCGUGACCAUUUACCACCACAGCGCAUACAUAAACCCUGGGCACGUCGGGACGCACGAAGCGCCGACCAACGUUCUUCAGUUGAAGGAACUCGGCCACCUUCAGGCAUAACUUUGGCUUCAGGAGCUGGUAAUGCCAACCGGUUAGGUGGGGCUGGCAGCGGCAAUGCCGUCCUCAUGUUAGGACGCAUCGCCACUGUGUUAUCCCAUCGCUUCACAUCACGCCUCCUGGCAGGGUCCGCGACAUCCUCCUGCAAGCGAGCCAGAACACACGCAGUAUCGAAUGUUUGUGGAUGAUGCAAGGAUACAGCAACUUUAAUGUAAUCCUUUAAGCCAUCAAUAAAGCGCAUAGUAUAAAACAAUGGAUCAGAAGUGCCACCAUAAGCAGUGAGUUGUGUUGGGGAAAAGCUGCAUCCUUCCCCCCGGUAGCGCCGGAGGUUAUCCUUCACCUGGGGAACCUCCGACGCCUGGAACGUCGGAGGAUAUCCUUCGACGGGAAAUGCUAAUGUUGACGACUCGUCUGGUCGUGCAAAGUGUGUGCAGGGACUGAAGCACCGGCGGAGGUCCACGACUGAGGAAAGGUUGGAACCUCCGACCCUCCCGGGUCCGAGGAUGGCGGGAGAACGUAGCCAGGCCAAGGAGGAACUCCCGGGAUGGCCGGGUGAAGCAACCUCCGACCAGCCGGGCUGCGGAACCACCGACACCAAAGCGUCGGAGGAUCCGCAACUGGGCGGAGGAUCCGAGCCUCCGACCUGCUGAGGCCCCAGUCAAAGGAUGAACGGAGGGUUCGCAAUGUGAAAUUACGCGAGUGUAUUGGGGUCAGUAGACUGCGAUGGAAGAAUAUGCUGGAAUAUUCCCCCACCGUCACGGGGCAUUUAUGUAAAUGUCGUUGGGUCGGUUUCCGGGCCCUAUAUAAGGGGCGUGAUGCUGCCAUUAAUAGUGAGAGAGCAUUCAUUGUAUUCACCUACUGUUGAGCCCACUGUCCGUUACUGCUCAAGCCUCUCACGGCACCGAGUGAGAAGGUCCUCGAUCUACUGUACUGCUGGGGCGUGCGAAAAGCACCUUCCCAACAUUGGCGCCCACCGUGGGGCCCGAGGUAUAACCUGCGAUGGCUGGAAAGAGAACAAGCACCACGAGACCUCGGGCAGAGCCCUCCAGGAGAGGGAGGCCGAUGAGGGCCGUGCGAAGCGCGUACACGACCGUGGAGGGAGAAGGUUCUCAGGACGAGCAGCCAGAGAACGAGCAGCCGGAAACACGCCGAGAACCUCCUCCCGCCGCAGACCCGGCGCAACCCACUGCCGCACAAGAGCUCCAGCAACUGCAAACGCAAUUGCGGAACCUUCAGCAAGAGCGAGACCGGAUCGCUGCUGCCUACGCCGCCAGCCAAGAGGCAGCGGUAGCCGCGACGCAAGCAGCCGAGAUCAGGCAGCAGCUUUCACUCCUGCAGGCAGAAAUCCUUAGCAUGCAACCUCCAGCUCAGCCGACAAUUCAGCCCGCUGUUCUGAACAGCGCCGGCCCAACAUUAGAUGUGCAACCGAUGAACUACGGCGGCAUGCCGCGGGGCACGUUGGACCUUCGUUCCCCUCUGUCCGAAGGAUUGCAGACCUCGCCUUGGCCAACAACCUACAAACCAAUCACGCUCCCUAAAUUCAGCGGAAAGGCCGAUCCGCGCCAAUUCCUGAUGAGUUUUGAGGCAGCCGUGGCCUCAGCUGGAGGGAACGAGACUGUGAUGGCAAAAUCUUUCGUGAUCGCGGCCGAGGGAGAUGCCUUGGCAUGGUAUUCGAUGCUGAGGCCCGGGUCGAUCUAUUCGUGGGAGAACCUUCGAGACAAGAUUUUAGCGAAUUUCCAGGGAUUCGCAGUUGAAUCACUAACCUCCACGGACCUAUUCCAGUGUCGCCAGAGUCAGGGAGAGGCACUGCGGGAUUACUUCCAAAGGUUCGUGCAGACCAAGGCGAGAGCACCCGGCGUGCCGGAGGAGGUUGCCAUUGAAGCGGCCAUCAAGGGUCUCCGCAUAGGACCCUUCGCGGCUCAUUUGGCCAGAGAAAAGCCAGCAUCCAUGCACGAGCUGUACCACGAGUUUGAGAAGUAUUGCAGGUCAGACAACGAUUACCGCAAAAGGUUGGAAGACCAAAACUCUCAGAAGAGGCAGAGCAAUGAUAGAAACUCACAGAAAAAGAACCUCAGCCAGGAUGGACGCCGGCCACAGCAAGAGGCUGGUGGACAGAUGAUGAAUAUCGAGCAACCGAAAAACGAAAUGCCGGAAAAUAACCGUCCACCAGCGGAAGCACGAAGCUCGGGACGCACACCCAAUCAAGCCGGAAGAGGGGGUCGAAAUGCGGGAUGGCAAAAAAAUCAAAGUCAGCGACCACGGAAACAGUAUUGUUUCUUCCAUGGAGAGGAGAAGGGUCACUCCACCAGAGAUUGCCCAGAUGCAAAAGAAACUCAGGAGAGGAUCAAGAGCAGGUCAACUCCACAACCUCCGAUACCAGUUGCUCAGCCUCGGGAAGUAAAUCACACAUUCCCUCAAACCUUCUACCAUUCAUAUGUCGGAGGUUCAAGCCAGCAGCACCCAGCUCCGCUUCAGCCCAGCGCACUAGCCUCCGCUUACUAUCCCAGUUUCCUACCAGCUUGGCGCCCAGCCCAGCAAACCGCGGACCACAAUCUUCCACCAAACUAUGUUCCUCCACGACCUCCACAUAUCACGUACAUCGAAACCCCGCAACCCCAGCAGUCACUACCUCCUCCCCCAAACCAGCUACAGCUACUCCAAGCCCCACCACCACCAAAAACCGAACCCCACCCUGAUAAUCAGAUCGGCCCUCAUACACCCCUGCCAACAAUUGGAAUGAUCUUACCAAUAGCUGGGGGGUCCUCAAUGGAGUUCCAGACAAAGAAACAGAAGAAGGAUCACCUCAGGCUCGUCAACAACGUUGCAGUUCAAGGGCCAGUGAGAUGCACUGAUUGGUCCAGAACCCCAAUAACCUUCACCGAGGAAGAUCUAAGAUUGGAAAGCUACCCUCACACAGACGCCUUGGUCAUAACAACAAAUGUUGCGGGUUGGGGAGUAAGCAGGAUAUUAGUAGAUUCAGGGAGUUCCGCAGACAUAAUAUUUGCUGGAACCUUCGACCAAAUGAAGCUCAGCAGAAGCCAACUCCAACCUGCGGAGUCACCUUUGAUCGGGUUCGGAGGAAAGCAGAUACAUGCUCUGGGAAAGGUCGCCUUGCCCGUAUCCUUCGGCACAACAGAGAACGCAAGAACAGAGUACGUCACCUUCGAUGUGGUAGACUUGCACUACCCAUAUAAUGCCAUAUUCGGGCGAGGAUUCUUGAACAAGUUCAAUGCGGCCGCUCAUAUGGGAUACCUGUGCAUGAAAAUCCCGGCUCUGCACGGAGUCAUAACGGUUCACGGAAGUCAAAAGGAGGCAAGGAACAUAGAGAAAGCAAUCUACAAGUCCUUCCGGAACAUAAACUCCGUAGACUCUACGCAGCAUGAAGCUUCCCAGCCGCCAGACAUGCCAAGGGGGAAAACAGACCUGGCUGAUCAGGAGGAAACGAAGUGUAUCCCUCUGCAGGAAGCUGUUCCAGAUAAGAAGGUCACCAUCUCCGCCACCCUUGGUAGAGAGGAGGAACUCGAAUUGCUAGACGUAUUGCAAAAGAACCAAGAUAUCUUCGCUUGGAGUGCCGCUGACCUACAAGGAGUCAGCAGAGACAUAAUAGAGCAUUCGCUGAACAUCGAUCCGAGAAUGAGGCCAAAGAAGCAAAGACAGAGGAAAAUGUCUGAAGAAAGAACCUUAGCCGCGAAGGCAGAGGUACAAAGACUCCUGGACGCAAAGGUCAUCAGAGAAGUCAUAUACCCGGAAUGGUUGGCAAAUGUGGUCUUGGUCCCCAAGAAAAAUGGCAAAAUGAGAAUGUGCAUAGACUUUACAGAUCUCAACAAGGCUUGUGUCAAAGACUCCUUCCCCUUGCCAAGGAUAGAUACCUCUGUGGACAAAGCAGCUGGUUGUCAGAGAUUCUCACUGCUGGACUGUUUCUCUGGUUACCACCAAAUUUGGCUCAAAAAAGAAGACGAAGGAAAGGCAAGCUUCACGACCCCAUUCGGCACGUAUUGCUACACCAGAAUGCCAGAAGGUCUCAAAAACGCUGGAGCAACCUUCUCCAGAAUGAUGGGGAAGGUUCUAGGAAGUCAGCUACAGAGGAACAUCAUAGCCUACGUCGACGAUGUUGUCGUCAUGAGCAAGCGCAAGGAAGAUCAUAUCAAGGACCUGCAGGAAACAUUCGUCAACCUUAGAUCUGCCGGGCUGAAACUCAACCCGGAGAAGUGUGUAUUUGGGGUCAGCAAGGGAAAAAUGCUAGGGUAUAUCAUCAGCUCCGAAGGAAUUAGAGCUAACCCAGACAAGACAAAAGCAAUCAUGUCAAUGGCAGAACCUUCAAACAAGAAAGAAGUCCAAAGACUGACCGGCCGAAUAGCAGCCCUCAACAGAUUCAUAUCAAGAUCGGCAGAACGGAGCCUCCCAUUCUUCAAAGUGCUGAGAGGAGAAGGUAAAACAGAAUGGGGUCCGGAACAAUCAGAGGCCUUCAGGCAGCUCAAGAAUUACAUUGCAACCAACCUGGUGGUAACAGUGCCCGAGCCAGACACUCCACUACUACUGUAUGUGGCUGCCUCCGAGCACGCUGUCAGCGGUGUUCUAGUGCACGAGACAAGCGACACUAAGGGAACGGUGCAAAGACCCGUUUACUACGAAUCCGAAGCUCUGUCAGGAGCAAAGCUGAACUACACAGAGAUAGAAAAAAUCGCGUACGCGGUCCUAUGUGCAUCGAGGAAGCUCAAGCAUUACUUCCAAAGCCAUGAAAUCAAAGUGCCCACAUCACAGCCAUUGGGUGAUAUCCUUAGGAACAAAGAGGCUUCCGGACGUAUAGGAAAAUGGGCGGCCGAACUAUCACAGUUCGAUAUCACCUAUGUCCCCAGAACCUCCAUCAAAUCCCAGGCCCUGGCUGACUUCAUGGCAGAUUGGACACCUUCGAACAAAAACGACGAGAAGGUAAUCAAUCAGCCGUGGACGCUGUAUACGGAUGGCGCCUGGGGUCAAGCGGGAGCAGGAGCGGCAGCCGUUCUAAUCGCACCAUCUGAACUCAAACUAAAGUUUGCUAUACGACUCGAAUUCAAAGCAACAAACAACAUAGCUGAGUAUGAAGGUCUCAUCCUCGGGCUGAACAAAGCUAAGGCUUCGGGAGCAAAGACACUACUCAUCAAAACAGACUCCCAAGUGGUGGCAGGGCAAGUGGAGAAGGAAUACCUAGCACACAACCCGGAGCUGGCAAGGUAUCUGGCCGUCGUAAGAGGCCUGGAGAGAAGGUUCAAGGGAUUCACUCUGCAGUACAUUCCAAGAGCCGAAAACUACGAGGCAGACGAGCUAGCGAAAGCAGCAGCCAACAACACCCCCUUGCCAGAAGGAACCUUCCACCAGAUUGUUGCAACACCCGCAACCGAAUCAUUGCCAAAAGCCUUUCGCUCAGUCCUGCUGACAGAAAACGAAGAUUGGAGGCAGGCAAUAGCCGAUUGCCUCAAAGGCGAGACAGCUGUAGAUGACGAAGCAACAGCCAAGAGGAUGGAGGCAAGAGCAAGGAAUUACACCUCCAUCGACGGGAUCCUGUACAAGAAAGGCGUAGUCCAACCUUUGCUAAGAUGCAUAUCACAAAGCGAGGGCAGGGAACUCCUACAAGAGAUACACUCAGGGAUGUGCGGGUCUCACAUUGGACCUCGAGCGUUGUCUGCUAAAGCACUAAGACAAGGCUUCUACUGGCCAACUCACAUUAAAGAUGCUGAAGAAAUAGUGAAGACAUGCAAAGCCUGCCAAACCUUCUCACCAAUUCAGUCAGGACCUUCAGCACUAACUCAGCUCAUACCAGCAUCAUGGCCGUUGCAGAGAUGGGGAAUGGACCUGGUAGGACCAAUGCCAACUGCCCAGGGGGGAAACAAAUUCGCAGUCGUGGCUAUCGAAUACUUCACAAGAUGGAUCGAAGCUAAGCCAAUGGCAACCAUAACCUCUGAAACAAUCAGGAAAUUUUUCUGGCAGAACAUAGUCUGCAGAUUCGGAGUUCCACGCUUGCUCACAGUUGACAACGGAAAGCAGUUUGAUUCAGACAGUUUCAAGGAAUUCUGCCAUCACAUAGGAACCAAAAUUGCUUUCGCAUCUGUGUAUCACCCAGAGUCAAACGGGGCCGUGGAGAGAGCAAACAGAACAAUAUUCUCUGCAAUCUCCAAGACCUUACUCAACCUACGCAAGGGGAAAUGGGUUGAAGAACUACCAAGAGUUGUAUGGUCACAUAACACAACAGUUUCAAGAACAACUGGGUUCACUCCAUUCAAGCUCUUGUAUGGGGAAGAGGCAAUGUUGCCCGAAGAAAUCAAACACCAAAGCCUGCGUUCCAUGAACCAGCAGUUGGCUGAAGACGAAGAGUACUGCAAGGAAACCUUAGAAUCAAUAAGACUUGAGGCAGUGGAGAACAUUACCAGGUAUCAACAAGAAACCAAGAAUUGGAGAGACCGCAAGGUAGUACGAAAAGACAUACAAAAUGGGGACCUGGUGCUCAGGAAAAAAGGAGGUCAUCCAAACGCUGGUAAAUUGCAACCCAAGUGGGAAGGACCUUAUACAGCAAUACAAGCGGGAAGGUCGGGAUCCUUCUACCUGAAAGACCCCGAAGGAAGAACCUCCACCCACACGUGGAACGUCGACAAUCUACGUAGAUUUUACAUUUGAGUGUAAGGAUGACCCCUGCAAAAUAAGCGGCGGCAUCCACAUCCGUAAAUACGCUUGUUUUCUUUUUCUCUACUUUUUCGCAUUCCAAGGUCUGCACUCUUUUCCUCACAGGGGUACUCCUACCAGGAGGUGAGGUUUUUAACGAGGCAGAACCUAUGUAAAAACCUCUGAAAUAUAAAGAGGAAUCCACCCCAGAACCGAAUCCCAAAAAGUCGAAAAACAGCCAGCAACGAGGCUGUAGCAUUCGACAAAACAUCACGUGAUCACAAGGACCCUCCGCAGCUUUCAUCCAAAAGAUAAGAAAGCUCGGAACGUCCUCAAAGGUGAAAGAACACCAAAUCCUUAGCAAAAGACCUAGCCAAGAGCCGGGCAGCAAGGAUAACAUGGCCAAAAAAGUGAAAAAGUCCUGUCCUCCUCAGGCAUCACAACAUGGCCAGAAGGAACAAAACCUUCAAACCUGACAAAGACCUGAGGAAAAUCAGGCAUCAGGAACUAUAUUAUUUUUGCCAAAAGGCAGCGGAGGUUUAACAUUCACAAGACAGACCUCAACAAAAUUCACAUAACCUUCACCAAAAAAAGGUCGAAGGUAUCCUGCUACUCUAAGCAGACCCCCAACAAACAAAGUGUGAAAUUAAAACGAAACUACAAUAACCCUCAACCAGGCACAGCAAAACCAACUACCACAACAACCAUCAAUAACCCGACAAUAAGUUUUAACCUAACUAAGUACAUAAAAUAAAUGCACGAAAGCCUAUAAAACCUGACUAAACCUGCCCCCCACCCUCAAUCAGGAUCAGCAUACAAAGACCCGAUCAUCGAGUGCAAACCUAGCAGUCAAAAAGCAAAAAUCCUAGGCCACCAUGGAAGCAGGAGUUAGCCUCACAACAGCAACAAAACUUUGUAUCGCACGAAGCUUCGUAAUACUAGAACUACGGCGUUGUGAUGAACAUCGACCACAAAGUCGUGUACAGCCACAACAGAAACAAUGGAAGUCAGACUCAGAGGUCUCUGAAGGGUAUCGCACGAAGUCUCGUAACAUCCCUUCAGAACCUCCGACUUAGACAGCCGAAGGUUCUCCUCGACAACACUCCACGGGAGUCGAGCAAAGGAAAAAAAUAGCACAAUUCAGCAAAGGAUCCUUCGCUCCAAAAAAGUCGAAGGUUCUAAGGCAAAGAAACGGCGAUCCUCCGCGCAAGAAAAAAUCAAAAACACCUUCGCAACAUCAAGCAUCAAGAACAAGCAAGCCACAGCAACACAAAGAUCCUUAGGAUCAACACCACCGUAACGUUGCAAUAUAUACAUGCUGUAGCGCGAAGGUUGUAAUAAAAAUGAGAUCAAAGGUUGUAGCAAACUUAAAAACUUUAUUAUCGAUGAAGAAAUCAUUACAAAAGUUCGUUUACAAAAAAAAAAUGGAUAAAAUCAUCCUUCGACCCAUAAAAAGUCGAAGGUUAUGGGUAGCUUGUACAAGUUCAACUUUCAAACCCUCCUUCAACUAAACAACCGAAGGAUCUAUGAGUCACGUACAAACUAUAGCGCGAAGGCUGUCAAAAUUAAAAGGUGCGAAGGCCAUGUGGUAAAAAUAUCUGAUCUUUAUUAACCAUAUACAAUGUACAUAACACAAGCUUACAACAAAAAAUGAAAAACAUCCUCCGACCGUAAAACGCCGAAGGUUCUAAGACCCUCGCACAAUUCUAACAUACGAAUCUGGAAAAAGCCUAAGAUCAUCACAGUAAUCACGUACAAGGAAAUCAACUAAGUCAUCUAUACUACGCGUAGGAUACUUGUGGCGCCACCAGUCAAUUAGAUAACCCCUCGCGUACAAAUCUCCACGCUUGAACGUCACCGGGGUAACGUAACUUCCUUCGACAAAGUUCGAAGGAAGAUCUUCCAACGGAGAGGAAUUCACAACCUGCGCGCAGAAAAUAACUUCAAAUCCAACAAAAACGAAGGAUAAAACUAAAAAGCCAAACGAAGCUUUCGAACCUCCGGAAAACCUUGAAGAAAAGGCUCAGCAACAUCCUCAGAAGCCUCCGCCACCCAGCGUACCCUAUCUCUCUCACCAAAGAUGCGAAGGAUAGGAUAUGGCAGCUACAUAAACACAUCAAAUCAUGUCAUAAAAAAUAUAACCAAAACCUACGAUAAACGAAAAGAAAAACAAAAUCAUCCACCUACGCCGGAGGCCAUGAACCUCGGCGCGCAAGCGACUGGAUAAAUCCAGAUCCUUCGCCAUCAAUAUCAUAUCCAACAAACUCGAACAUAUCCACCAAUCUCAUAUUAGGGAAGGCAACUUGCCAAUACUCCCACAAUUCACCAGAAACAUAAAUCCCUUUGUAAAAAAACGAAAGGGGAGUAAUGAAACGAUCCUGCGCAGGUCCUCCGCCAGAGACCUGCGCAGGAUCAAAGUGUAAAACAAAGGCUUAUCUGAAAACAACUCAAUAUAUUAUAUUUUCAACAGUCUUUACAAAAUAAAACACAACCUCCGACCUUACUUACAAAAAAGCGUCACAUGCUUGGACGCAAAAAAGACUAAGAAAAACCUAAAAACUAAAAAGCCUCACACCUGAGGCGGAGGAGGAGCAGGAGCCUCGGGAGUCUCUGAAACCUUGGCACCAGAUCCCUCCGGAGCUUUGGCACCAGUAUCACGAGCCUCCGCUUCAGGCUGGGUCGGAGGACACGCCUCACUCGGUGGACGCGAAGGACCGGCCUUGACAACCUUAGCCUUCUUCUUCGCAAUCUCCUACAAAAUACCCAUCUUAAUUAACAUUGCAAAGCAGCGAAGCAAAUUACAAAAAGAAAUAACCAAAUAAUACAAACCUCAGCUCGACGAUCCUCCGCCAUUUUCUUCGCCUCAUCCCGCCCAAACCUAAUCCAGAACGAACCGAUAAAGUUCCGGACAGAUUUGCGCAGGGAAGGGGUCCCUUCGCCAACGUCCUCCGCCGCGGCAAAUUCCUCCUUGGAGACUCCCUCCGCGUGAGAGCAACCUCCGCGGCGCAAAAGCCUAGCGAAGGAGCUAACCGCGGCCAAAGCCCCAAAAUCAACAGCACCUCCGACAAAGUCGGGGAGCAUGCGGAUAUGAGACUUCAGCCACGCGAGGGCAGCCCCAACAUCGCCGCCGGGCGGAGGAGCAGAGGUGCUUCCCCCAAACUUCGCAAGCGAGUCGGCAUAGAGCCCGACAAUAGCUGCAGCCUCCGCUUCCGCCUUCUGUAUGCGAGUCUGCAGCUCAGCUGCAGACGUCCGCUCAGCGUCAAGCUCUUUGCGAAGGCGUUCAGCAAUGUCCUCCGCCUUCUCAGCUCGCUGCAGGGCUACGUCCCUAACUCUCCCCGCCUCAGCAACACUUGUGCGGAGGACCGCCACCGAAGCUUCGGCAUGAUCUUUCUCCUUCCUUAGAGCCUCCGACCCAGCCUUGUAGUCAUCCCUCUCCUUUUUCAGGGAGUCAACCUCCCGCCUGACGGAGGAAAACUCCCUAACCUCCUCCGACAGACGAGCCUUCUCAGCCUCCAAGGUCUCGUUCUCCUUCUUCAGAACACCAAUUGCCUCAUCACGGCAGAUAACCUCCCGGGAGCAACGCUCCUCUAAGGCGGCAGCCAUGUGGUGACCCUGCUCAAAAAUAAAUAGUUACAACAAACCUCCGAGUGAAAAACCGCGAAGGAAGAUACAACAAAGCGCAAACUUACAAGGCUAUGGUGCUCAUAUUGCACGCGAAGGAGCGUGUCAAAGUCCAUGCCGCGAAGCUUCUGACGAAAACGAUCUGUAAACCAAAAACAAUUAAGAAAAACCAUCGUAAGAAACAAAAAACCAUUGGCGGAGGCCAGAACACUAACCUCCGACCAAGGAAUGAACCUCGCGCAAGGCAUCAGUCCAACCUGUGAUCGAAGGUUCAGAAGCACCUGCACAUAACAAAAACAAACCUUAGAAUAAAAUGCCAAAAACAAACCAAACUGUUGAACCAAAAAGAAGAAACUCACCAGGACCAAGAACAUCAGCAGGCGAGGGCCUGUUGGCCAACGCAGAAGGCGCAGGCUCACGCGGCGGAGGUACGGCAAGCCCUUCCUGCGCAACACUGGCGCCUUUGGCCAUCUCCUCCGCGGUAGCCAGCCCAGCAAAAACAUCCGCUGAAAGAUAAACCAAAAACAUGAGAACAAGUCAAUCAAAACUUACAUAAAAACAAAAUAAUCAACAAAAAAUCAUUACCCAUGUAUAACGAGUUAAUACCGUCACCAGCCGGACGAAGGGGAGCCUCCGCCCUCCUGAUCCUCCGAACGGAGGCAGACUCAGCUUCGUCGCUGGACUCCACCUGAACCUCCUUAGGCGGAGACCCUCCGCCAACCGAAGCAACGCGCGGACCCUCAGACGCUGCAGGAUUCGCCUCCCGCGCAGGGCUCGCCUCAGGGGCCUCCGCGUCGGAAGACUCCUCCCCAAGAAGAGACGCGAAAGGCGCGCGCGCAGAGGAGACCGCACGCGAAGCUUCAACUUCAGGAGCUCCACCAGCAGCAGCGGCCUCCGCAGGUGCAGAAGCUACCGAGUUCGACUCGGCACCAGAUGAGCGGGCGGAGGAAGACUCCACAGGAGUCUCUAGCACAACCUCCGCCCUCCGCUUCUUCGCAAGCUGCUUGACUGCGCCACCCCCUCUCCUCUUCUUCGACUCCGCCAAGGCGACAGCCUUCGAGGAGUCCUUCUUCUUCUCCAACCCAAGCAAAACAUCCGGAGGAAUAACAUAAUCCUCAUACUCGAUCCCCAAUUCCUCAAAAACGCGGUUGAACCGGGGCAUCGUCCCAAGCGCAGACCUCCGCUGGAGAUAUUCCUUCUCCGAGAUCUUCCCGACAAUCCUCCGGGCAGAAACCUCCACACGAUCAAGGAAGGACUCCUUGGUCUCAUCCUCCGGAAUACCAGCGCCGAACCGGGGAAACGGCAACCCCUCCGGGGGACCAAAAACAGGAACUUGCACCAUCUCAAUGGUGAACUCAUCGGUCCUGCGGCCAAGUGGCCAAUAGUCAGCAGCGACCAUCUCCUCAACCAAAUCCCGACCUCCGGAAUAUCGGCAUGCCAGCGCAAAUGCCUUAUCACAAGCAAGUCGCUCCUCCGACAUCUCCUGCGAAGGAUCAACCUUCGAGAAAGGCUUCAACUCCUUCAUCAGCGACGCGUAAGGAUAAACCUUAUCAACGCUGCCGUCAUCUAAAGUCUUCGACGCAGCGGGGGUCCUCACGUAGAACCAAGCUCUCAUCCAAUCCUUCUCCCACUUCCCCUUUUGGCAGUAGGAGAUCUCGCACCUUGGCCCAGGCAUUGUGCGGCGCGGCAUGAACGCGCAGCUUCCAAACUGCGCAAUGCACUCAACACCUUCGGCAUCCUUCACCUUUUUAGGCUGGCGCUGGAGCUCAAAGUACGAGCAGAAAGUGUCGAUGUGGGGCAUAGCUCCGUAGGAUUCGCACGCCCAGGCAAAUUUGCUAAGGGUCAGUAUCCCAUUAGGGCUGAAAUGCUGCAGCUCCACGUUGAAACUCUCCAUCACUUCGCGAAGGAAAUGAUACGGAGGCAUCCGAAGUCCGCAAGUAAAGAAGUCCCUAAAUACCACCGCAUACCCCUCUUCAGGCGCAGGCACCGUCUGACCCGCAGGAGGAGCCUCCGCACGACCUUCCUUGAAAAACCUAGCCUCAACCAUGUCAGCGAUAUCCUCCGCCCUCACAGUCGACUGCCCGAACUCAAAGGUAAUCGCCGCCAUCUCCUCAAACUCCUUCGCACUGAUCAAAUCACCGACAGAAGCUUCGACGUCAGACAACGUCUCCUCCAGAUCUUGAGCUGCAGCCACCUCAAGCAUCCACUCCUCAAACCUCCGCAGCCAACCUCCAGACCUCACGCUAAGGAAACCGCGCAAAGGACCAGAAAAAUCUGACCUCGAAGGACGCGGUGAAGGAAGCUGAGCCACCGUAAAACCUCCGACAACACUUUAGAACUAAACGCACGCGAGCAGCUCAGAGAGAAAGACGUAGCGAAGGAAGGUGUGCAGGCAAUGAGCAGCAGGGGUGAGAGCUCAAAGCUCCCCAGCAUCCCCUUUUAUAGGGGGGGGGCCUGCGACCGCGCGGCCGUUGCGAUUCCCCGCGCCCAACGGCUAUAAGCGGAGGAAUCGGCCAGACCGUUGCGCUUCGUCAAUGCCAACGGCUAACUCCAACGGCAAUAAAAUCCUCCGCAAUCCUCCGCAAUCUAACGCGCGUAGGAUACCAGACUAAUAUAGCAGCAAUGAUCGGAGGAUCCCGGCAAAAUAAAGAAACAAGAAAAAUUACGACUAAGUAAAAGAAACAGUUAUCCAACAUUUGCUAACAAACACAUCCUGCGCACCAGGGGGGAAGGCAGCAACCAUGCUCGUAACCUCCGCAGCGUAGCAUGUUUUUGAGCACAUGGACCGCAGGAGUGCCAUUAGCCCAAAAAGGGGGGAACUGUUGGGGAAAAGCUGCAUCCUUCCCCCCGGUAGCGCCGGAGGUUAUCCUUCACCUGGGGAACCUCCGACGCCUGGAACGUCGGAGGAUAUCCUUCGACGGGAAAUGCUAAUGUUGACGACUCGUCUGGUCGUGCAAAGUGUGUGCAGGGACUGAAGCACCGGCGGAGGUCCACGACUGAGGAAAGGUUGGAACCUCCGACCCUCCCGGGUCCGAGGAUAGCGGGAGAACGUAGCCAGGCCAAGGAGGAACUCCCGGGAUGGCCGGGUGAAGCAACCUCCGACCAGCCGGGCUGCGGAACCUCCGACACCAAAGCGUCGGAGGAUCCGCAACUGGGCGGAGGAUCCGAGCCUCCGACCUGCUGAGGCCCCAGUCAAAGGAUGAACGGAGGGUUCGCAAUGUGAAAUUACGCGAGUGUAUUGGGGUCAGUAGACUGCGAUGGAAGAAUAUGCUGGAAUAUUCCCCCACCGUCACGGGGCAUUUAUGUAAAUGUCGUUGGGUCGGUUUCCGGGCCCUAUAUAAGGGGCGUGAUGCUGCCAUUAAUAGUGAGAGAGCAUUCAUUGUAUUCACCUACUGUUGAGCCCACUGUCCGUUACUGCUCAAGCCUCUCACGGCACCGAGUGAGAAGGUCCUCGAUCUACUGUACUGCUGGGGCGUGCGAAAAGCACCUUCCCAACAAGUUGGUCAAUGAGAGGGGUGAAUUGAGUAAUGUACUCAUUGACAGAAGCAGUUUGGCGGAUUUGGAAAAGCUGUCUAAGCAAAAGUUCUUUCUCAUCCUGCCCAAAAUGCUCUAUAAUCAGACUGGUGAAAGUGGGCCAAGAACAGUUUUGUAAGGUGGAUUCAACGGAUGAAUACCAACGCUUAGCGUCAUCCGUGAAGUUCAUUUUAGCCACUCGAACCCACAGAUUUUGGUCAGUCCCAUAUAGCUCGAAAUAAUCUUUGCACUGACUAAGCCAAUACUUGGGUUGGGAACCAUCGAACUUAGGGAAAUCGAAUUUAGGUAACUUAGGACUCUGGAACCCAUUAUGACCCACACCAGUAGACCCGCUACGAAAACCAUGAUCAAUAGGAGGAGGCAUAGCAUGCGACAUGGGUGGUGGCAUAGAAGAAACGGAAGAAAGUCCAGAUGGAGGUGGAUUCAUACCCGUGACCGGGGAAUGAACUAGGGUGGAAACCACCCCAAAUCCACUCUCCUGAUUACUGUUGUCGACGCGGUGCCCGUUGGGCGAAGUGGCUGUAGCGCCCGCAGGGGGACGUUCAGCACCGGCAGGAGCAGCAGCGAAAACGCCCGGCGAUGUUGCCGGUUGGUCGAGGAUCGCGCGCUCCCAGUUGCGAGAAAUCUUCGAGAUCUCCAGCUUGCUCUUCGAGACCUCCAGCUUGAUGUCGUCGACGGUGCCUUGAAUGGAUGGACGCCACUCGUCCAAGGUAGUUGUGACGCGCUCCAGCUGCUCCAGGCGAGACGCCUGCGCCACCUCCAGAUCCCCGAUCUGGCGCGACAGACGGGCCUCCUGAUCCGCGAACCGCGAAUCCCACUUCGCAUCGUGUUCGUUGAAGCGCUUGGCGAGUUCAUCCAGGAUGAGGCGAGUCUCCGGAUUCAUCAUGCCCAGUCGAUGUUGACGACGGGUAAAGUGGUGGUGUGCGAGGGUGGGGGACGGAUCCAGAUCGAGGCACCCACAAACCGAUUCAAAGCGUGGAGUGGAAUUACAGCGUUCCAAUCGCUAUCAGCAGCUCACUGCUAGCGAUCGAAUCAAGCCAACCAGAUCCGUUGCCAAAUCGAUCGAUGGAAUGUGUGCGCUCAGAUCUGAAAGCAGACCCAAAAUCGGUGUCUCUGAUACCAAUUGUUAGCAGUAGGCAAGGGUUGGAGAAAUUGGGGAAGGGAAUUAAGACGAACAGCAAGCAAAGACGCAGAUAGAUCGGCGAAGAAACGAAGAUGAGUGCUUAGGCAGUUAGAAUUUGGUUUACAACUUUCUGAAUGCCUCUCUUCUCUCCCAAGCCAAGUCUUAUACGAUACAUGGGCAAAGCCCCGCCCGUGCACGCAGGCACGCUAAACCCAUUCUGGGCCGGCUAAACGGACGUUGGGCUUCCUCACGCGAACCCGAGUGCUUGGCCAUGGGCUUCUUCUCCUGUGGCCUCGUCAGGUGGAGAAGUGCUGACACCGAGCUUCCACGAGCAGGCCCGCGGGCUUUCGACGCAGAUCAGGGAGGUGGCGGCAGGUACAUGAUGUGCGUCACAGGGCUGCGGUAGCCCUGGCUGCCGUCCAUAUUUGUCUUCCGCCUAGGGUAGAGGUGCCCAAGGACGUUGACGUCGGAUAGUUGGUUGCCGAGUGCCGACCUUGGCGCUGCCGCCAAUGCCAUGCUGGGGUUGUUAGCGUGGAACAGGUAAGGACGCUCUUCGUCACUCGUCAGGGAUGAAUUCUGUCGAUCUGUUUUCUCUAUAAAAGGAUAUGUGAAUAAAAUUCUGAUUUGUGAGUUAGUAGUCUUCUGCAAACUUUCCCGUGUGCGCAAUUGUGCGUAGUAGUAACCACCUAACGCUCGGAUAGGUUAGUGUAAGGUAUCCGGGUGUUGAGACUUUGCCAAUCUUAAGGGGGUCCCAAUAAACGCAUUCAUCCGAGCGGAGUGAGUCGUUGUCGCGAGAUCAUUUUUAAACUGGGUACAAGUUUAAAAAUCCUGGGAUUACUCGCGUGCGAGUUUGUCUAGUGGAUAGGUUUUGGUAAUCCUGAGAUUACUUUGUUGGGUGUAACCGGAACUCUCUUCUCUUAAUGAAAAACGUGCGAAUGCACGAUCUCGAAAAAAAAACUGGGUACAAGUGUUGUAUCUAGUGUGCAGCCCCCCGAGUGUUUCGAAUUGAGUGUCGUUCAGGGCUUCAGGCUAGUGUAGCCAUACUCGAGAGGCGUUGCAGUCGCUUGUGGCUAUGCCAACAAUUUGAGUCACAGAUUUGGGUUUUUAGCCCCGAUCGAGUGCCUUGUUGAGUUGUUGUGUGUUAGUGUAACAUUGCAAGGUACCGAGAGGAAAAAAAACAAUUGUCAAAGGACAUUGCAUAUAAUCGGAACUUAGCCCCCGAGCGACCUGAGGAAGCAAACUCUAGGUCUCGGGAACACAAAGCUUUUAUUCAUAGCUACCUGAGACAUGCAUACCAUUGUUGAAAAGGAAAAAUCUUAUACUAUUACUAAUUAGAGGCCCCAAUGAAGAUACCAUGUUAAUUCUCAUCAAACGCACUAGGAACAAAAAUAAAUCAUAGAAAUUCUCACAAUGAUUAGAAGUGAAAUCUUACAGCGCUUGGAAGUAAUGUGAGCCCUCCAUUUUAUUCAUUCUGAUGGUUUAAAAAUAGAAAGAACCAAGUAAAAGGAACUUAAGUUGUGGGACGUAACCAGAAAUAUAUGGAUCCAGAACUGAUUUCUAAUUAAAUAUUAAGGGUACAACAACACUUUGUCUCCGGAGCUGCUUCUUCAUCCUAGCUUCUCCUCUCAUAUCCGUGUGUUCUUCCCAAGCAGAGACAAACAGCAGAGUCCUCGGCCCUUCGCACCCAGCCCCAGCCAUCAUCCCCACUUCCACUCUUUCUUCCUCGAAGCCGACGGCGCCUAGCUGCCCUUGCCGUGCAGAGCUUGCUCCGGCAGACAGCCACUGUUGAUGCUCCUCUGCCUCCUUAGAAAGCCUCGAUGAGCAUCCCCUGUGCCCAAUGCGACCUCCUCAUCUCCUAGCACUACCGCAGACAGCGCCUUUGCCUAGCGCCUGGUUAUUUGCCGAGCGCUAUUCAUCGGGCGCUCGGCAAAGGCCACCUUUGCCUAGCGCAGGGCCCUCGGCAACGACUGCCCUCGGCAAACGGAGACGCUCGGCAAAGAACGUCUUUGCCAAGCGCCAGGCGCUCGGCAAAGGCUCGCUCUCGGCAAAGGCUCGCUCUCGGCAAAGAACAUCUUUCCCAAGCGCCAAGCGCUCGUCAAAGGCUUGCACUCGGCAAAGAGAUAACACAUAUAACAUGGGGUACCUGCCGUCACCCUUUGCCGAGCGCCCUCCGUUAGGCGCUCGGCAAAGGCAUCUCUUUGCCUAGCGCUGAUUUUUGACGCUCGGCAAAGGCAUCUCUUUGCCUAGCGCUGACUUUUGGCGCUCGGUAAAGUUUUUUUUUUGAUUUUUGCUUUCAAACUUUUUUGUUUUGUAUUACACAUUAUUUAAUAGUAUAUGUUAAGGUUUUGGUAGUUUUUAAAAUCUUUUUAUUAUAGUUAUGAUGUCUAGGUUUCUAACUAACUUCCGUGACAACAUGCACAAAAUUUUACCAAAUUUUUACCAUAGCAUCCACAUGUGCUCCAAAGACGUGUCGCUAAGUUAUGUAAUUUUUGGACUUCAUUUGCAUUUUAUAUAAUUUAAUAGCACUCCACGCGCAACUUGGUCGCUGUGUUCCAUACGCGGGAUGUUCAAUAUUUCAUGCGUGCUCCUGGAUACGGCCUUAACAUACGCUAAGUAAAGCAAAUAUCAAUUUUUGAACCGUCGAAAUCGAAGAUUCGAUACAUCUAGUGUUCAAAACCGUGUUUAUCGCAGAAAUUCAGUUAAACCAAAUAAACUAACGAUAUAUAAUAAAAAGAUUUAAAAAACUACCAAAACUAAAACAUAUACUAUUAAAUAAUAUGUAAUGCAAAACAAAAAAGUUUGGAAGCAAAAAGCAUAAAAAAAAUCUUUGCCGAGCGCCAAAAGUCAGCGCUAGGCAAAGACGCUUUGCCGAGGGUUGCGCUAGGCAAAGUUGACCUCUUUGCCAAGCGUUGUUCGAGAGCCCUCGGCAAAAUUGUGUAAUGGCCAACUUCACCCCAACAAAAAAAAACAAACAGAAAAAAAUCAAUUUUUUUUUGAAAAGUCAAAAAAGUCUUUGCCUAGCGUUUCCGAUCUGGCGCUUGGCAAAGAAUACUUUGCCGAGCGCCAGAUCAGGGGCGCUCCGCAAAGGAGCCACCAGCCCUUUCCAUUACACACAAGCCAGCGCAAAAAAAUAAAAAAUCUCACACACUCCUCACUACCGCGCCGCCCCGUCCCGCCCACACCACGUGCCCGCGCCCUGCGCUGCCGCCCCGCCCUCAGCCGUUGCCGUGCCGGCCCCGACCCCGCCUCGGCCGCGCCGCCCGUCCCGGCCGCGUCCGCGCCGGCCCCGUCCUGGCCGCGCCCGCCCACGCCGACCCCGACCCCGCCUCGGCCGCGCCCGCGCUCGCGCCGCCCCGUCCCGGCCGCGCCCGCCCACGUCGGCCCCGCCACCGCCUCAGCCGCGCCCGCCCACGCCGGCCCCGACACCGCCUCGGCCGCGCCAGUGCCGGAGCCGGCGCCGACCCCGCCCCGUCCCGGCCACGCCCGCCCGCCCGCGCUGCCCCGACCCUGCCUCGGCCGCGCCCACGCCGUCCCGCCCCGGCCGCGCCCGCACCGGCCCUCCUCCGCCGCUGCUGCCCGACCACGCCCGCGCCGGCCCCGGUCACUCUCGCCCCUACCUCGGCCCCGACUGUCGACCGCAGCACGCGCCCGCCUCAUCCGCUGCGCAUCGCCCCGCGCCGGUGAUGUAUGUGCUUGUCAGCCAUCGUGUUGGUGAUGUAUUUGUGGUUGUCGGCCAUCGUGUCGUCUUUUUUUUGCAGGUUUGGUAACCUCCCCGUACAGGGGAGGUGCUGCCGAAAUUUUUUGUUCUCACUAAUUGUUUUUUUUUCAGGAGGGCUCCCGUUGGAGGAUAGCCGGAGGAGCACGACUCGGCACUGCCCCGCUAGCCUGUCUUCACCGGCACCUACGGUAUGACCCCUCUUUCCGUCACAUAUGGUCUUAUGUCGCGUUACCCAGUUAGGCGUCUCCCGUCCGAAACGGAUACGGUUGGAAGUAUGCGAGCUUUGCAUAUGUAUAACCGUAUCUGUUUCGGAUUGUCCACUUUUUUGGACAGCCCGUGGAUGCGUAGACGAGGUUAGUUUCCAUAGUCUGCUCUGAUCCGAGAUAGGGUUUCGGCCUCACCUCCGUGUUGUUUUCCGGAUACACACUCUCCUCGCCGGGAUGUGUAUCUUUAGAACAGCGGGGAGGUGCUGCCGAAAUUCUGUCUCAGCUCGGAGUAGCCCAUGGAAACUAACCUCGUCUACGCAUCCGCAGGUGGGAUUAGGACCUAUCCUUACCUAUUAGAUGGUAGGAACACGAAGUAGAUGCACUUGAUGUUUAUGUUCAUCUUUGAUAUUCAUGUUAGACGAUGGAUGACCGUGAGUGGAUGUAUGCGGGAUACACAAGUAAGCAUGAUUUCAGCAUUGAAUGGGGGCAGAAGACAGAGGCUUUCUUGGACCGUGCAUUUGGCAGUGGUGUGAAUAGAGCGCGAUUGGCGAAAUGUCCCUGUAGUAAGUGUGCAAAUAGGAAAUGGCAGAACCAGGAGACCAUGGCUAAACAUCUUCAGUUGAAUGGCUUUGUGUCGGGCUAUACCCGGUGGGUACACCAUGGUGAAGCGCAUCGGUUGAGAGAGGAGGUUGUGCGGCCUCGCCUCGAGCAUGUCGAUGAUGGUGGUGGGGUUGUAGACAUGUUAGAUGACUUCGCACAAGCACAGAUCCCCGAUGGACGGGCGGAGGAGGCAGAGGCAUCCGCAAAGGCGUUCUAUGACAUGAUGGCUUCGGCAUAGAAACCCCUUCAUGAUCGCACGACGGUUUGUCAGCUCGAUGCCGUUGGACGCGUGAUGGCGUUUAAGGCCGAGAUCAACAUGAGUCGGCAACACUUCAAUGGCAUGCUGGCCUUGAUUGCUAGCAUCCUUCCAGAGGGCCACGUGCUGCCAAAGAGCCUGUACGAGUGCCAGAAACUCCUUGAUGGACUCAAGAUGCCGAACGAGCAGAUACAUUGUUUUCCGAACGGGUGUGUCCUGUUCAGGAAAGAUCUUGAGCAGGAGAAGUACUGUCCGAAGUGCAAAGCCUCUCGGUACCUGGAGGUAGACUCUGGUGGCGGCCAGAAGGAGCAGCUUACCGUCCCGAUGAAAAUCCUACAGUACCUCCCUUUCUUGCCGAGGAUCCAACGGCUAUACAUGAGCAAGGAGCCUGCUAAGCAAAUGACAUGGCACAAACUAGGGAAACGAUACAAUCUCGAGAAAAUGGUGCAUCCGUUCGAUGGUUAAGCAUGGCAACACUUUGAUCGCAUCCAUCAUGAGAAAGCAUCAGAGGCACGUAAUGUACGCGUGGCAUUGGCAACAGAUGGGUUCAAUCCUUAUGGUAUGAUGGCUGCCCCGUACACGUGUUGGCCUGUGUUUGUCAUCCCACUCAACCUCCCCCCGGUGUCUCCUUUCAGUGUCUGAACGUAUUCUUGUCAUUGAUUAUUCCUGGACACCUGGGGAAGAAGAUGGGUGUCUUCAUGGAGCCUCUGAUUGAUGAACUGGUCAGUGCUUAGGAGGAUGGGGUGUGGACAUAUGAUCGAGCAACAAAGAGCGUCUUCAAAAUGCACGUUUGGUACCAGUACUCCAUGCAUGACUUCCUAGCGUAUGGGUUAUUCUCCGUUUGGUGUGUCCAUGGGAAGUUCCCAUGUCCAUUAUGCAAGGCUCAUCUGAGGUUCAUCUGGCUCAAGAAGGGUGGCGAGUAUUUGUCGUUCGACAAACAUCGUCAAUUUUUGCCCCUCGACAACGUAUUCAGGCGAGACACCAUAGGCUUUACGAAAGGUGUCGAAGUCACUGAACCUCCACCACAGAUGAUGACUCCUGCCGAGGUCCAUGCUCAGAUUGAUGCUCUCGUGGAGAAUGAACAAGGUGAUGGGUUCAUGGGAUAUAGCGAGGAACAUAUGUGGACUCAUAAGUUUGGCUUGACAAGACUCCCUUAUUUUGAUGACCUCCUCAUGCCACAUUACAUUGAUGUCAUACACAUCGAAAAGAAUGUCGCGGAGGCACUCUGGGCAACGCUCAUGAACACUGAAAAGUCAAAGGACAACCCUAAGGCUUGAUUGGAUCUCGCAGAGUUGUGCCAUAGACCACAUCAAGAGAUACAAGCUCCUAGUGGUGGUAGGACAUGGAAAAGGCCUAAGGCAGAUUUUGUCCUGGCCCCUAGACAAAGGAGGGAAGUACUCCAAUGGAUGAAGACGUUGAUGUUCCCCGAUGGGUAUGCAGCAAAUCUGAGGAGGGGAGUGAACUUAAGUAUUCUUCGAGUGAACGGGAUGAAGAGUCAUGACUACCACAUUUGGAUUGAGCGUCUUCUCCCGACGAUGGUUCGAGGCUUCGUCCCCGAGCCCAUAUAGACAGUGCUGGCAGAGUUGAGCUACUUCUUCUGCCAGCUCUGUGCCAAGGAGUUAUCUCGAUCCAUGAUUGAAGACUUGGAAAAAGUGGCACCUUGAAAGGUCCAAAUGGCUAGAGGGGGGUGAAUAGCCUAUUUAAAAUUUCUACAAACUUCACUAAGCAAGUUAGUAAAACAAAUGGCGAAGCAAUUCUAGCACUAGCUCAACUAAGCUAUGCAAGCCAUCUAUACAAACUAGUACAAGGCUAAACACUAAAGCACAACAACAAGAGAGGGCUAGAUACACUCCUAAACAAGAAGACUAAACUAAACAAGCUAGACAACUAGCAAGGUAUACAAAUAAGUAAAGGAGUGGAGAGUGAUUGUUAUACCAACGUUGUAGAGUAGAGAUAUAUCCAAUCAAUCACUCACAAUCACAAGAGAAUCCUCGGCAAGAGAUGACACAAGUUUUUUUACCAAGGUUCACUUGCUUCCCGGUAAGCUACUCCUCGUUGUGGUGAUACACCCACUUGAUGGAUCACGAGCUAAUUGGAAAUCCAAAGCCAAACCCUCAGCGGGUGCCGCACAUCCACUCACAAGAUGGGGAUCCUCCAAGCCACGAGCAAUCCACUAGAGUAACCAAUUUACGAUCUCCCGCGGGGAAGGCUCAAGAACCCCUCACAAAUCACUUGGUGAGGCUCGAAACAAUCUCCAAUCACGAGCUCAACACCACCGCUGCUCCAAGCCGUCUAGGGCGUCGGGAAACACCCAAGAGUAACAAGAAAUCCGCAGCAAACUCAAGAAUCAAGUGCCACUAAAUGCAACUCUCAAAGCAAUGCACUUGAAUCUCACUCAAUCUCACUAGGAUUAGCAAUCAAGCAAGGAGAUGAGUGGUGGGAGUGUUCUCUAGCUCAAUGUAUGCCUCAAGUAUACACAUGUCCAAGAGAGAACCCCCCAAAGCCGGCCACCAACUAUUUAUAAGCUCUCUCAAAGAACUAGCUGUUGGCCACUUUCAUUGGGCUGAAAUCGGGGGCACCAGACGCUACUAAGUGAGCACCGGACGCUCGACCCCCAGCGUCCGGUGCACUAGGGUUAGCUACGUGUCCGAUUAUAACGGUCACCUGCGGAUCACUGGACACUCUGCAGGUCCACACCGGACGCGUCCGGUGCACAUCGGACUCAUGCGCAGAGAGUUCCGCAAACCUACGGGUCACCGGACGCUAAGCACCGGUAGCGUCCGGUGCUCACCGGACCCAUGCGCAGAGAGGGUCGCAAAACGCCCGUUCACCGGACGCUAACCACCGGACGCUCUCAGAGCACGUCCGGUGCUCCACCCUAGCAGGGUCAAGCACACCGGACUCCGAGGCCAGCGUCCGGUGCCUCAGCACUCAGCGUCCGGUGAGUGUUUCUUAGUGAGAAAACACUCCCGCGACUUCUCCAAAAUUCCCAUCGGCGCAAUAGAAAAUAUACACGUAUUUUUCUCAAAAGCGCCGAAUCCCGCCUCGCAAGCUCGGCGGGAGGGAGAGAGGAACCCAAACCCCUCUCAACCCUAGGAACUCCACCUCCUUUGCAAAUGUGCUAACACCAACAAGUGUCCACCACCAAAGUGCAUGUGUGUUAGCUUUUCACAAACAUUUACCCAAAGGAGUUAGGUUAGCACUUUACUAGAUCCUAAUGCAUAUGCUCAAGAUGUAGACCUAGUAGCACUUGAUUCGAGAGAUAACCGUGAUUUCCCCUCUUGAUAGUCGGCUAUCUAUCCUAAACCCGGUCAAUCACUUCUCUACUCAUCUUAGACCGGCAAAAGUAAAACCCUAUGUUUAUACCUUUGCCUUGAUAACUUUGCUCCUCGUCUAUCAUUAUGAUCUCCACAUCAAGCUUCAUCUCUUUGUAGUCAUGUGGCCACCUCUCCAUGCCACCAUGCACCUUCAUCACAUGUGUUGCUAUGCCUAACUCAAAUCACUUAAACACAAGGCAUUAGCAACUUGGUGUCACUAAUUACCAAAACCAAACUUGGGCUUUCAAUCUCCCCCUUUUUGGUAAUUGAUGACAACCAUCACAAAGAUAUGAAAUGAAAUCAUAAUGAACUUGAAUUGCUUGUCCAAAGCAUUUUAAUCAUGAGACAAGGUUGGACAAUCAUUUCAAUUUCGGUUUUGGUAGUACUAGCUCCCCCUACAUAUGUGCUUCCAUGAGUUUGGUUCAAAUUUGCACAUAUGCAUGAAUUGGAUUUUUGGGAGAUUUAUUACUACCCAAAUGAUGCUAAGGUAUAUAACAUGGACCUUUGAAGCGUGAUACCAAUCGGAGUUGCCAAUAUACCAUCCUUAGCACCAAUGUAGCUAGACAUACAUCAAGAAAACUCAAGAUACCUCGUGAGAUCACAUUAUAUGUCUAGAUACCACAUAAAAAUAAAACUCUAUGCUAGAAUUCAAAGCAUCAUUCAAGUUCUAUUUCUAGAAAGCAUCAAUCAAACAAGAAUAGUAUAUUUAAACUUGCAAUGCAACACAACAUUGUGAUAUAGACUUUAUCGCCGAAUAAGUGAUGCUAUUAUGAGAUAUAUGUGCUAUUGUGAUAUAUAUGGUGCCGGUGGUGAUAAAAUUGAUGGAAUUGUGAUAUAAAUGAUGCUACUUGUGUUCAUGGUGAUAUCAAUGUGCUAUUUGUUGUGUUCGCAUUGAAAGAAAGCAAAAAAUAAAAACUGGAUUCCAGCUUUGCCUAGCGCUGCACUAGGCAAAGAGCCUUUGCCGAGCGCGGCGCUCGGCAAAGCUGGAAUAUUUGGCGCAGGAAAACAGCAACCUACCCAGCUUUGCCGAGUGUUGUUGGAGGUGCUCGGCAAAAAUUUUUUUUAAAAAAACAAAUUUUCCUCUUUGCCGAGCGCGUUGUUGGAGGCGCUCGGCAAAGAAUUUUUUUUAAAAAAAAAAUUAGUUUCCUCUUUGCCGAGCGUUGUCUUGUAGGCGCUCGGCAAAAAAAUUUUCAAAAAAAAUGUUUUGCUCUUUGCCGAGCGCAGAGUGGAGACGCUCGGUAAAGAAGGUGUCACGGUGCAUAACGGUCAUGCCCGUCACUUUUUUUUGCCGAAGGCCCUUGUGGCGCUCGGUAAAGGCUUUGCCGAGCGCCCGACAAAAGACGCUCGGCAAAAGAGCCUUUGCCGAGUGUUUCUUUACCGGGAGCUCUUUGCCGAGCGCCACGCUCGGCAAAAGCCUUUGUCGAGCGCAAAUCGCUCUUUGCCGAGCGUCCCAGGCGCUCGGCAAAGCCGCGGUCUGCAGUAGUGUAGUAAUCAGGCCGUACGUCGCGAUUUGGUGCCGGCACCCAGCUUCGGCAAACAUGAGGAACUAGACAUGGUCGAGCAGAGCGCUGCGCGGCAUCGACACAAGCAGGUGGUCGGCCGUGGCACCGGCGCAGGCCGCGUACAGCCGCGCGGAGCCAAAAGGCAACGGAGUUACCAUGUGCCAUAAAAAAUACUAAACUAUACCCUUAGCUACUUUUCGAAAUCUCAAUAAUUUUCAGAGGAACCACCGGUUCCUCCCAAGCACUGUGACAAUGCUCUAGUUAAAAACAUCUGACGUUUACUUUGGUAGACUCUAAUCAUCAUUUAUGAUAAUAGCUAUUGGAAUUUAUAAAAAUAAUUACCAACCUUUGCCAUUAUGAAAAAUACUUAAAGUAACCCUCUAAUUGCGCAUAUAAAUUAUCCACCUCUGCAUUUAAUAAUCUGACAAAAAUCCUUCAAACAAAUAUCCCCUACCAAGUCAAGUUUGAAUUUGGUUGCGUACAUCUUUGAAUGUAGAGACCGGAUAUUGUUUAUCCUUUACCUAAAAAGUUUGGAUGACAGGUAGGAAGUCCGAGAACUCGACUCGAUGAAGAAACCGAUCCAUCAGUCGGGCGCAACCAUGAGCUGCCCGCCGGGUAUGUAUGGACUCCCCUGACUAUCUUAAUUAUUAACUAGCCGUGGUCGGCCUUACGAGACUGUUAAUGUUUUAAACAUUUGUGUACUAUAACAAUUUUGGUGUGUUUUCUCAUAUGUGGAUGAAGCACGAUAUUUUCUUCCAAUAUCCAAAAAAAAUAUGAAAUGAUAGGAACAAACGUAUCCACUCUUAGGAACAUCUUUGUUGACACGAUUAUAGUAACCUUAUCGGCCUUUGUUAGCAAAUUUGCGCCACAUAACAUCAAUUCUACAGCAGCUAUUUUUUUUUUCGAGACCACGCCGAGCGGCGCGUUUUUCAAUUCUACAGCAGCUAUUCAUCUGCAAAGUACUAGCACGUGCAUUUUGUUUUAAUUUUCUACAUAAUUUUGUUCCUGUGUCUGAAUCAUCCAUGAUGAUAAUUAAUAAUGUCCAUAUACUGUCUAGAAGAUCAGUUGCAUUGCAUGCUAAUAUGCAUUACUUUGUUCCCAUGAUGUUCCAAAAUUCAAUCCUGUAUAAUGGUCUAAAAAGUAAUAAUAUCUAGUACUUGUGUGGAAAAGGACUGACACGCUUCUUCCUCUGACCUGUCGUCCACGGCGGUCCACCCCUCUAGAUUCGAUCAUACGUACUUGCACACGUAAGUCACUAGUUUCUUUCAGUGCAACCCGAUUAUUAUAUUCAUUCUCUAGACAAGAAACAAAGCAUAGGGACGAACGUUUCUUCUCUUAGUCUUAGCAACAUCUUUCUAGCUAGCAGGACACUUGACACAUGCAACCAGCAAUUUCUACCUAGCUUCGGCCGGUGUUUGGCGUGGUUCAUCUUACUAUUGCACAAGCCAACCGAACGUGCCCGCCAAGAAAACGAUAGCCUACCACCACUACUUAUAUCGCACUCGCUCUCUCACGAAGCACACACUGCACAACUGUGGCCUUGUGGUUGUCACACAGCAAAUAACUCGAAAGGAAACAAUGGACGGCGACGUUGUAGCAGCUGCAGCAGCUUUGCCAUCACCGUGGAGCUUGCUCCAGGGGCUCCUUGCCCUGCUGAUCGCGUGGGGCAGCUACCAGGCCGCGGAGACAUUCUGGCUGCGGCCCCGGCGGCUCAACCGGGCGCUCCGGGCACAGGGGCUCAGCGGCACUGAGUACCUCUUCCCAGCCGGCGACCUCAAGGAGAAUGACAGGCUCAACGACGAGGCACGAUCGAGGUCUAUGCCGUUGUCCCAUGACAUAGUUCCCCGUGUGAUGCCGCAUCUCUUCAACACCGUUAAGGAGCACGGUAUGUGGAAAGCAAACACACGUUCAUUUCUUUCUCUCUCACUGAACUCACUCGCUUUGCGCACUCCUCUGCCUUACAUACUUACCCACCUCUUACCUCACCCCCGCAUAUGCGCAAACCCACCCUCCCCUAAACCUAGGUUGCAAACGACCACUCUACAGCUAAGGUCUAGGCAUUUGGUAUUACCGAACCAUGGUUCAGUACUUCAGUUCCCAUAGAAAUUCAGUUUCUCAAAAAAUAGGCACCGAUCAGUUUGUUCCAAGAUUUAGUACCCAAUGAAAUCGGUUUUGGUAUUUUUGGUUUGGUUUCAGUAUUUAUCCAAAACUACGGAACUGUGUGAACACAGAGACAUGUAAUAGCAGGUAUAAAAGCUAAAUUUGCAAGGAUUUUGAAGACAAUAAAAGUGCAAAAUGCAUACACAUGAAAGUCCACAAGACUAUAAGAGCAGAGUACUACAAAUACAUAAUAUAAUAGUUUUUAAUAGUACAAUUAAUAAUAUUAUAAUAUUUAAACUCAGCAUAUUUCGCGUAGUUUGGCCAGUCCAGGCUUGACUUGAUUCGGACUGUUUUGGACUUGUAUCGCCCCCUUCACCAUAUUCACGUUUAAGUAAACAAAAUUCACAUAGUCCUUUGUAAUGCUCAUUUCCCUAAAUUUGUCCGUUCCAAUAAACUAGAAAGUUACCUAAUUUUAAAGAUUGAAUUGAAGGUUCUGUAGAUUUAACGGCACAUGCAAAUGUUGAACUGCAGGCAACAUUUCUAUCACCUGGUUCGGACCAAUUCCUAGGGUGAUAAUCACGGAGGCAGAGUUAAUAAGGGAUGUCCUAUCAAACAAGUCUGGCCACUUCGAGAAGUUCAUCUCGAACAAGCGUCUUAUAAAAAUGCUCGCCCUUGGGAUUGCGAGUCACGACGGUGAGAAAUGGGCAAAACACAGAAGGAUUCUGAACCCCGCAUUCCAUCUCGAAAAGCUCAAGGUUCUCUGACUUCCUUCACACUGCAAAUCAGCCUCAGUUACGAUAUGUACGGCCUCAAGCAUAUAGAUAUGUGUGCUUACUAAAUUUAUUUUUUUAGCGCAUGCUGCCGGCGUUCUCGACGUGCUCUACCGAGCUUAUAGAUCGCUGGGAGAACAAGCUCGCUUGUUCCGACGGAUCAUAUGAACUGGAUAUCUGGCCGGAGUUUCAGAACCUCACUGGAGACGUGAUCUCCCGUACGGCAUUUGGCAGCAGCUUCAUGGAAGGGCGAAGGAUCUUCCAACUUCAGGGCGAGCAAGCAGAGCGA
rnacentral:lncRNA from 1 species